CUGUGGACACAAGUAGAAAUAACCUGAGUUCCCUGGAGAAGAAGUGGCCAUACUUGUUUAUUACUGGCAACCCAGAAAGAGAGAAGCCUGCCUUCUGCACAGUUUGAAGGAAGGAACUGGUCCCUGACAAAGCACCAUCAGGACACAAACUCAUCCUCUUUCAUGACAGAAUUUCCAAGCCCUGCUAGACAGCUGAAAUUUCUCAGGAACUCUUCUGAAUCAAGUAGGAAAUCAGCCUGCAAAGCCCAGAAAUAUGGAGCUGCAUCAUCUGCAAAGUUUCUGCAUCAGUACAGACUAAUAUUUGAAUCAGGAAGCAAGCAGGGCCAGUUGCAUACCUGGCUGCAUGCUGCUGGCUCACUUGCUCCCACUUAUUUGAGAACUCAGCCGAAAUACAGUGCCUGUCUUGCCAGAGGCAUGUCUUACAAAAACCAGUAUGACACAUGGCUGCAAAGCAAGUUUAGCAGGUCAAUGAAUCAAGAACACUCCCAGCAAGAUCCACAGAAUUUCUUUAAUGAAGAAUGAGUGACAGACUGCAUCCUGUGCUCAUUCCGAGAGCUGAGCAUGUGGCCAUAGUGGAGUCUUAUUCCUUAAUGGUAAAAGGCUUUUGAAACCCAUUUAACUCUAUUAGUGCUCCCAUAAAAUUGUGCUCUCACUCAUUUUCUCAAAAUAAAUAUCCUGAACUUAAUGGAGCAUAGUGUCCUUUCACUACCAGUACCCAAGAACUCCAAUUAUGCAUUAUUAAGCUAUUAAACUGAAGUGAACAAAAAGAACUGGCACUUACUGGCAAGAUCUCUGUUCUAAAAUGCUCAGUAAUAAACUACGGAAAAAUUGGCAAGUGGCUAUAAAACUGCCAUCUCCUACCAGCUGCUAUCAUUUUGUUUUCUCUAACACUUAGAACAUAUUUAUAAGCACAUAUUAUGCAUGCACACAUAUAUACAGAGGAAGGCACACACGGAGAUCUACCUGUGCUGUCACACACUGAGUUGGCAGAGUAUUUCAGAAAGCCAGCUCACUCUUGAGCAUGCUGUAGGCUGGUUCCUGCAGCAUAAAGACAAUGUGUUCUCUGGAAGUUUCUAAAAUACUAAGAUCAGAGAGCAUGUUGGGCUCUACAGACUUCAGGAUGUAAAGCAAAAAACUUCCUGAGUCCCCAAAUAGCUGGUGGCAUAUUUUGAUGACAGUUAAUCAACACUGGAGCUUCUUUGUGUUUAUUGUUCCAUUUGGUAUGCAGGGAAUGUGGAAAUGGGAAAAAUCAGACAUUGUAAACUCGUUACACUCUUAUAAGGUGA